UACGUAGGGUGCGAGCGUUAAUCGGAAUUACUGGGCGUAAAGCGUGCGCAGGCGGUUCGUUGUGUCGGCGGUGAAAGCCCCGGGCUUAACCUGGGAACUGCAUUUGUGACUGUAGAGCUGGAGUGCGGCAGAGGGGGAUGGAAUUCCGCGUGUAGCAGUGAAAUGCGUAGAUAUGCGGAGGAACACCGAUGGCGAAGGCAAUCCCCUGGGCCUGCACUGACGCUCAUGCACGAAAGCGUGGGGAGCAAACAGG
rnacentral:rRNA from 1 species